rnacentral:rRNA from 1 species
UACAGAGGUCCCAAGCGUUGUUCGGAUUCACUGGGCGUAAAGGGUGCGUAGGUGGCGGAACAAGUUCGAUGUGAAAUCUCCGGGCUUAACCCGGAAAAGGCAUUGAAAACUGUUUUGCUAGAGGGUCGGAGGGGAGACUGGAAUUCUCGGUGUAGCAGUGAAAUGCGUAGAUAUCGAGAGGAACACCAGUGGCGAAGGCGAGUCUCUGGACGACUCCUGACACUGAGGCACGAAAGCUAGGGGAUCAAACAGG